UCUCAAAUCAAAAAAGGAAAAGACAAAACCAUUCAUCUUCUCUUAGUCAUCAUUGUCUCUCUCUCUUGCUCCCAGUCGUCUCUCUCUCUCUCUCUCUCUCUCUCUCGCAACCCCAACACCUCCAGCGUGGGAAGAGUUCCAGGGUUUCACAACUUCAAGGUAAACCAUGGCGAUUACUUCAGAUGGUUUUGGACAUACAAAUGUGGAUAUGACUUUUUUUGACACGUACGAAAGGGCAUUGUUUUUAUACCUCUGUUCGUAUGUAUAGUGGUCAUUAGACAUUUUGAUGGAUGCAAAGCUGACUUGGUUGUCUGUGAUGGUGCUCCUGAUGGUUAGGCAAACAAAUAUGAUUUCAACUUCAUGUUUUGUUAAGUGCGUUCCCUUGUUAACUUGGAUUUAUAUAUUUUCUGAGUUGGCUCUUUCCAUGUUCAUUUGCAGUCAUCGGACUCCAUGACAUGGAUGAAUUUGUACAGUCACAACUCAUUUUGGCUAUGAGUGUUUAGAGUCCUUUCUAAACUACUUAAUGCUUCUCUAGAAUAAUUUUUACUAUGGUUAGUUUUGGGUGGAUAUUACCUCCUAAAGUAGUAUCAAGAUGUAACAUAGAUGCAUUUGAUUGAGUUCCCAUAUGGAAAUUAAUUUACAGUUUGUGUGAAAAUGAAGAAUAAUGACAGUCAUGAGUCUUAUAGUAUUCACCCAAAAAAAGUCUUAUAGAUUUUAUACUAUUUCUGCGAUGAAAUUUCAUUGUGGACUGCCAACAGUGCAUAGUCUCCCAUCACUUCAUUGCUGCAUCUGUAUGUCCAUGUUCCCUGGCAAAAUGAACAAACUGAUUUAAAUUUGGUAGCACUUGGGCAAAGACCUUUGGCAGUUAGGGCUAUUAAGGAUAUAAAUAGUUAAGGCACCCCUUGUUCUGCCAACUUAAGCUUUUAGACGAGUUGGUGGUCAACAAUUUAACAAAAUCAAGAGGCGAAAUAUGGAAGAAAUAUCAUAAAUAAAUCUCCCUCUUAGCUUGGUGUGGAUUUUGCUUUCUAAGUUUCCAAGUUGCCUAUGUCCUGUUUGAAUUGGGAAAGCAAGGAUUUCUGUUAUGUUCUCUUUUGUUUCUCCUAUAUUUUGUUUUGAUCAGCACUUUUGUUUCUUUUACAUUUUCUUUUACUUUUUUCUCCUAUACGGGUCUUCUUUGUUUGACUGACUUGUUGCUUGUUGCGAAAAUACAAAGGAUCAUAAAGGAAACUACAAUUUUUAUGACAAAUGUGUUCAUUCCAUACACCCUUAUCUUGUCAUUAUUAUAAAUAGGGGUUUGUGAAUGCCUACUGUAUGAUUAACAAGAAAGUUCUAGAUUUGAUUAAGAGUAUCUAGAAAUUUGUGAAUCUUGUUCAAGUUUUUUGUUAGGGUUUAACAAUAGUUACUCACAUACUUAAGAAAGGUGGAAAGUUUAUCGCAAAGAUAUUCCAGGGAAAAGAUACAAGCCUCCUUUACUUUCAGGUAAGUUAAAUACUUACUGAAGCUCUCCAUUUUUUUGGAAUUAAUUUCAUCAAGCUUAAUGUAGUUUUUGUUACAAGAUUUGAAGUUUUCUUCACAUUCCUUUUGUCCAUAUGUCAAUUAGCAUUUUCUUCAGCAUGGAUUCCUAGCCUUGGUAGGUAGUGAUGGAUAAAUGUUCUUUGAAUAAAGAAGAAAAUGAGCAAGAAAACCGAACUUAUUUUAUUACAAUCAAGUGGUGCAUGUUGGAGACUUUUCGGCAUUUGAGCAUUAGUACCAAAACUAUAGUAUAUAUUUUUCCUACUGUCUUUCCCCAUAAUCUAUGUUGUGAGUACACAUGGUGAGCCAAAACUCUUAUUUUGAGUUAACUAUACAAGUUCACCAACACUAUAUUACUUCAGGGAAUAAACUUUUGCAACUUUAUAAUGUCAUUGGUCUUCUACAGAGGAUGGAAGGGGAGACUAAAAACAACUGGUUUUCUAUAGAGAAUUGGUGUGUUGGAGCCAGAAGCCUCUGCUAUGUGUGUGUUUUGUCAUGAAGGGCUUGAAUCUGUAUUUCAUCUCCUUAUAUGGUGCCCGUUUGCUUGGAGAAUUUGGUGUCAUCUGAUGCAGUGGUGGGGAUUGACUUGGGUAAUUCCACAAACAGUGGAAGGGAUUCUUAAUUAGUGGAGGGGCUUCAAGUGGAGAAAUAAUCUGACUAUGAUCUGGCGAAUUAUACCAUUUGCGGUUUUGUGGUCGUUAUGGAAAUUUAGGAAUGAGAAAGUUUUCAGUGAAAGUCAAAUGCACUUGGAGGAGCUGUGUGAAUUAAUCAAGACAAGGAUUGCAUUGUGGGCCAAAUUUUACACUCAGGAUUGCUGUUACUUAGUACAGUAGAUUAUCUGCAACAUUCAGGAGAUUCAGCUUGGAAAUGGUUAGUAUAUGGUGGAGGGGCUGGUUUUAGGUUCUGUGUUGGCUUGGAGUGAGAGGAUGUUUGGCAUAAGCUGCAGUUGUGUGAAAUGUGCUCUGCUGGUGGUCACUAAUCUGGAUCAAAUCUGCUGGCUGGUAUCAGAGGUUCAAUCCUUGCUUGAUGAUCUGGUUGGUUUGAUGGUCUGUUCUGUAUGCUGCCUGCCUGCUCUGUUUAGAAGGUCUGCUGGCUGUUUUCACUAGCUGAGCUAGACCUGAUAUGUUGAUUAGCUGUGUUUAGAUGGUGCCUUGAAGCUAGUAUGUGUUGCAGUUGCAUUUUUGUGACUUGCUGGUGCCUUUUAGGACUGUUAAGAGAGCCUUGUCUGUUUGUUCACUUUCUGAUGCCUUGAAGCAAGGGUGUGUGGCAGCUGCAGUUUUGCGCAAUGAGCUCUGCUGGUGGUCUUAUUGGUGAAGUAUGAAUAAAGGAAGUCUGCUAUUAUGCUGUGUGUAGCCAGGUUUCAAUCAAGAAAGUUUGCUGCUGUUAUGUUGCUGGUAUGUUGCUUCUAUGCUGCUGCUGGUCUGGCUGUAGGGGUUGGUUGAAUGUGUAUCAGGAUUCCCAAAUGGAUGAAGUGUAUCAGGAUCCCCUAAUACUACUCUGUCCUUUGCUUUUUCUUUUUUCUAUUCUCUUUUGUUUCCUCUAUUGGUUUCUCACCAAUUUAGGGUCUUGUGCUUUUUACUCUUCUCUUUUUGUUGAUGUAAGUUUUGUAUGUUAUACUUUCUUCAUCAAUAAAGUUGUCUUUUGUUGAUCAAAAAAAAAAAAAAUAAUGUCAUUG